AGCUGAUUGGCGCAGUGGAAGCGCGCCGGGCUCAUACAACGGUGACCCGGAGGACGUGAGAUCGAAACUCACAUCAGCUA